AUCCUUCAGUUCAUGAGCAUGAUGAUUGGGUGUUCAUGCCAUUUGUGAUGUGUCUCCUUCAAACAUUGUUACAAGGUUGGUGAAUUACCCAUCUGACA
rfam:Fukomys damarensis contig72415, whole genome shotgun sequence.